AGAGUUGAUCAUGGCUCAGGAUGAACGCUAGCGAUAGGCCUAACACAUGCAAGUCGAGGGGCAGCACAUGAGUAGCAAUACGAUGGUGGCGACCGGCGCACGGGUGAGUAACACGUAUGCAACCUACCUUUAACAGGGGAAUAACCCGUUAGAAAAACGGACUAAUACUCCAUAACACAGGGGUCCCGCAUGGGAAUAUUUGUUAAAGAUUUAUCGGUUGAAGAUGGGCAUGCGUUCCAUUAGCUUGUUGGUGAGGUAACGGCUCACCAAGGCUACGAUGGAUAGGGGAACUGAGAGGUUUAUCCCCCACACUGGAACUGAGACACGGUCCAGACUCCUACGGGAGGCAGCAGUGAGGAAUAUUGGUCAAUGGAGGCAACUCUGAACCAGCCAAGUCGCGUGAAGGAAUGAAGGUCUUAUGGAUUGUAAACUUCUUUUGCAAGGGAAUAAAGUGGGGGACGUGUCCUCCUUUGCAUGUACCUUGCGAAUAAGGAUCGGCUAACUCCGUGCCAGCAGCAGC
rnacentral:rRNA from 1 species